rnacentral:rRNA from 1 species
AUGAAGACAAUGCAGCAGGGUUGGUUAUCUAAUUGGCUAGUCAAACAUGAGGUGGUUCAUAGAUCUUUGGGCUUUGAUCACCGAGGAAUAGAGACUUUACAAAUAAAAGCAGGGGAUUGGGAUUCCAUUGCUGUCAUUUUAUAUGUAUAUGGUUACAAUUAUUUACGCUCCCAAUGUGCUUAUGAUGUAGCACCCGGUGGAUCUUUAGCUAGCGUGUAUCAUCUUACGAGAAUACAAUAUGGUAUAGAUAAUCCAGAAGAAGUCUGCAUAAAAGUCUUUGCCCAAAAGGAUAAUCCUAGAAUUCCGUCUGUCUUCUAG